GUAAGUGCCCUUUAAUUUUUACUUCACUUUAAAGGAUUGGAAACUAUAAAUGCUGGUGACUGUAAAAAUGGGUGUGGUUUAUGUAAAAGAUUACUAUGCAACUCCAAACAGCAGAAAUAAAAACACCUUGGUGUGCUCACAAAGAUUAGUAAGUGGAUGUACCAGUGGGUCAUUAAAUCAUCAGUUUUAACUGCUUCGGGUUAGAGGGAUUUGACGGCACUGGAACUGCCACAUGGGCAUUAAGGAAGCCACAUGUGAGUCCUGGGGCUUGGUUCUGCAGUGGGCUUCAAGCACUGGUAUGAGCCGAAUGUGAACAAAUCAUGUGUAGUGGGAAAAAACACAAGCUUGGCAUAUAGACAGAUGGACUCACGCCCUCCACUCCACUUGCUUGCUGUGUGACCUUGCGUGCACCAUGUCAUUUCUCAGAGCCAUGAUUUCUUCCUUGGCAAAAGGAGGUGCUAAUAUCUAUCUCACAGGCUAUAGAGGCCGAGGGAGGGUAGGGGAAGCCCUAAGCCAAAUUUUGGCCCAGAAGAGGGACUGCAAAUAGCACUCACAUUCCCCUCUGCAGUGUGCUUCCAGUUCCAUGCAUCCAGUGUGAACCUGACUUUCUUAUCUCCCAGGGAUUUCUCAGCCAAGCAUCAAUGAAUCUUGAAUCUCAGCUGAUGACACUCCUGGGCAAAAUGGCUAUGAAACUGGAAAGAUGUCUAUGAAACACACAGUCCCUCAAGCCAGAAAAUGCACUUGACACAUCUGUGUCCCUUGAGGAACCUGAAGUUUUGGUGAAUCCAGAAAGCCAUGGAUGGCAGAACUGACCACAGAAAAAGAAACAGAGGCUCAGAAAGGUGAAGCCAAUUGCCUGAAGCCACACAGAAUAUCAGCUGGAGUCAGGAUUCUAACACCAUCCCAUGUAGCUGAUGCUAUCUACUGCCAGCCUGGAGCCAGGCUAAGAGGAAGAGAAAGAAGAAAAUGCCUGCAGAAACAUUCUAUGUAAAGAACACUUUGGGAUCAGAAAAAGAAGCGCGCCCGUGUUUCACUUGCAGCCUCACCCUGCACUAGGUAACCCUCCUUCCUCCACUGCACAAUCACUUAGAAACUGUAACUCUUCUUGGGCCCAGGUGCACAGGUAAAUUCGGAUCUUUCCCAAGGGAUCUCUGGGGCCUCGGGUCACAGCAGACCAGAACUUGACCUGGAGGCUGGUGUCCCCCAAACUGCUGUAUGGACCCUGCAACAGCUGGGGAGUCCUCGUCUCAACAGCCCUGCUGUCUCCCACUGAGGUCAUCUGCUGGCCCUCCUGGUGGCCCUGUGAGGAAGCCAGGAGUCACUGAUGCUGCUCUAUCGACGGCGACAGAUGGAUCACAGCUGAUAAGUGACUUGCCCAGAGUUUUGCAGCUUGGAACUCACAGAGCAGAAGCUGGGAAUCAGGUGGGGAAGCACCCAGCUCUCUGCUUCUCCUAAGCCAAGCUCUGCAGCGAGGUCCUGCUUCCCUCGGGACUCCUCUUUCAGCAUGACAUGAACUCAUUUUGAAUGUAAAGGCAAUGUCAAAGCCCUACAGCUAUUUAUACCAGAGCAUGUGUUUAUUAGCUCACUCUCCAGGGGGAAUAUUGCUGUUGUGAAUACACAACUACUCAUAACUACCGUCUUAAAAAUCUUCUCUACCCCAAAAUAUUUACUAAUGUAUUUAAGUAUUUAUUUUCUUGUAGUGAAAGGAAAUCAAGAUAAUUCUAAAAUUGUGGAAGAAAACAAAAAAAGUAUAAAGGAGAAAACAGAAGCUUCACAUAUUCUAACCAUUAUUAAUCUCAAAAUAUUUUAUUCCAGGUCCUUGUCUAUGGUCCAGGUCCUUGUCUAUGGUCCUAUAGCCUAUGCUGAGUGACACUGUGCUAUGUGUAUGCCAUUUGCACUCACCGUGGGGUCAUAAGCGUGCCAUUUCCUUUUUAUUAAAAAAAUACUUUGCAUACAUGAAAGUAUGUUUGCAUUAAAACUAUGCAAACAUCAGUUUUAAUAACUGUAUAAAUAUUCCAUCACAAGGACAUUCCAUAAUUUAUUUAAUCACUUUGGUAGUGUUGGACAUUUAAUUUUUUAAAAAGUCAAAUAAUGCCAGGAUUAAUGCCUGUUUAUAUGAACCAGUUUUCAUUUCCUGAUUAUUUUCUUCGGCCAGAUCCCCAAAAGUGGAAUUACUGAUAAAAGUAGGUGAGUGUUUUUAACACAUUUCUUCUUAUACACACACACACACACACACACACACACACACACCCAUCAACAAAUAGUUUUUCCUGGAAGGAACUUCCAGUAGUGUAUGAGAAAGCCUAUUGCACCACACCAUCCCCAGCAAUGAGAAUUACUACUGUAAAAAAAUCUUUGUUACAUUAAAUUUUUGGAGGACAUCUCAUUUUCUUGAUUGCAUUUGAUUAACUCAAAAUGUAUUUCUACAGGGUGGGGAACAUCACACACUGGGGCCUGUCGUGGGGUGGGGGGAUGGGGGAGGGAUAGCAUUAGGAGAAAUACCUAAUGUAAAUGACGAGUUAAUGGGUGCAGCAAAC
rnacentral:lncRNA from 10 species